AUUAUCUGAGUAGGCUGAACCAUCAGUGAAAAAGAGGCCAAGCAUCUCAAAAAUAGGACACCUGAGAAUAUGGAGCCAACGUGACACUCAGAUUUGACACAUACAGAAGUGUGAAAAGCUCUUGUGCAACUAGGAUUGGUCCUCUGCAGUGAGAACAUGCCUGGGAUAGUGUACUGAAAAGAUGUGAGAAAUGCGUGAAGCAGAGUCCAGUCAUCUUAGUCAAGAACCAGCUGCGAAUCUAACCAUUAGACUUUGAGGCAAGUCCAGACCAAGGCCAAGGAACCACUGGCCUUAAAGACUGACCUGCAGGUUGCUGAGCUAAAUAAAAGUUUAUUGUUGAA